ACUUGCUUCUCAUUCCUAACCGUGCUGCUUCUGAAGGAAGUAUGUUAGAUAAGUAUGUCAAGAGGUAUGAUUACUAAGUAACAACCUUAUCGUUAUGUCAAACUUACUCGGCUAAUUUUAUAUCUUGUGUAGAAAAAAACUUGAUCCUCUGGAGGCUUAUGUACCUGCUGUCAUACUUACUCAGUUCCAGAUCAAGGACUUGGAAAAAACAUUAGAAGGCAAUGAGCCCCAAUUUUCCCUCUGCCGAUCUCUACUUCGUUCUGGGCCUGCAGCAUCACUUCGUGUAAAUAUUCGAGCAGUAGCACAAUAUGCAUCUGACAGUGGCAAUGGUAAAACUGCAUUCAAGAAUGUUGAUGAUUGUCUGAGGUACUAUAAUCACUCUCCUAUUUAAUAAUUAAAUGAUGUGCAUGAAACAAAUACCUAUUCACCUAGACUCAGAGUUAUAAGCUGUACAUCAAACAAAUUUUAAAAAGGGCAAUUCCCAACUAGAAUAUGUUGUUUCAAUGAUUUUGACUCAUGAUCUCCAUGUCGCAACUCAAAAGACAAACAAUCUUAUUGUUGCGCCGAGUCUCACCUUCAAAAAAACAUAACUUUAUAAUGUUGAAAAACUUCAACACUAUAUAAAGAAUAUUGUUUCUUAAGGUCUCUUGAGGAACUCGAUAACUUGUUUCUGCGUGCGUCAAGAAAUGAUCCUGGAGCCUCAGUAAAAUCAAUGAAGGCAAAAAUAGGUUCUACCCUUAACGCUUUGGACAGGUGAUUUUCUACAAUUAGUUUUCUCUUUUUUCCAUAUGCACAUGAACAUCCCUUGUUCCUAUUGCACAUGUUACCCUUCCCCUAGUUUCUUCAUAACUUGCAUGCAAUGGCAGAGAGAUGCAAUUCUUAAUAACCUUUCUGUUUCAGCCUCUUACAAACCGUACCGUUGGAUGUGCUAAGUAAGGGAAAGGUUAUAGCUGAUUCAUACAGAGAACCAGAAAAUGUGGAAACACAAAGUUUGGACCCGGAAUUAAAGCAAUUGGAAUCAAUACUGUGAAUAGCUAACAUACGUUUUACUAUUUGGGUAUUGGCCAACAUAGCUGGAAUUGUAGAACCCACAGCAUCUAUUCCUAUUAAAAGUAUGUUUUUGUUCAUUUUUAUAACUUGAUCUGUCUGCAUUAACUUGUGUGGUUGGUUGCUCGUGAUACCAGUGAAAGUGAUGACAGCGCUAUUUAUGAGCAAGUUAAAGCCAGUUAUCAUAGAUUAAAGCGUAAGGAGUCCCCUCCCAACUAUGAACCUACUAUAGAAGACCACCAUCUACUAUAAAACUGAUGUGAGCCAAGGGGAUAUCCUAUUAUUUGGAGGACAAACACUAAAUCGAUAACAUUUAUUGAAGGAUUCCACAAUAAUGACCAUGAAAUCAAUGUCAUCAUGAAGAUAUGAU
rnacentral:lncRNA from 1 species